GUGGGGAAUAUUGGACAAUGGGGGGAACCCUGAUCCAGCCAUGCCGCGUGUGUGAAGAAGGCCUUUUGGUUGUAAAGCACUUUAAGCGAGGAGGAGGCUUACCUGGUUAAUACCUAGGAUAAGUGGACGUUACUCGCAGAAUAAGCACCGGCUAACUCUGUGCCAGCAGCCGCGGUAAUACAGAGGGUGCGAGCGUUAAUCGGAUUUACUGGGCGUAAAGCGCGCGUAGGUGGUUAAUUAAGUCAAAUGUGAAAUCCCCGAGCGUAACUUGGGAAUUGCAUUCGAUACUGGUUAGCUAGAGUAUGGGAGAGGAUGGUAGAAUUCCAGGUGUAGCGGUGAAAUGCGUAGAGAUCUGGAGGAAUACCGAUGGCGAAGGCAGCCAUCUGGCCUAAUACUGACACUGAGGUGCGAAAGCAUGGGGAGCAAACAGGAUUAGAUACCCUUGUAGUCC
rnacentral:rRNA from 1 species